AUUGAACGCUGGCGGCAUGCCUUACACAUGCAAGUCGAACGGCAGCACGGGUGCUUGCACCUGGUGGCGAGUGGCGAACGGGUGAGUAAUAUAUCGGAACGUACCUUAUUGUGGGGGAUAACACAGCGAAAGCUGUGCUAAUACCGCAUAAUCCCUAAGGGGGAAAGCGGGGGACCGUAAGGCCUCGCGCAAUUAGAGCGGCCGAUACCUGAUUAGCUAGUUGGUGAGGUAAAGGCUCACUAAGGCAACGAUCAGUAGCUGGUCUGAGAGGACGAUCAGCAACACUGGGACGGAGACACGGCCCAGACUCCUACGGGAGGCAGCAGUGGGGAAUUUUGGACAAUGGGGGCAACCCUGAUCCAGCAAUGCCGCGUGAGUGAAGAAGGCCUUCGGGUUGUAAAGCUCUUUUGUCAGGGAAGAAACAGCAGCUCUAACACAGUUUGCGAAUGACGGUACCUGAAGAAUAAGCACCGGCUAACUACGUGCCAGCCGCCGCAGUAA
rnacentral:rRNA from 1 species